UUUCCAGAUUCCAAGUACAAAGUCAACAAACUGAAGAAUAGGUGGAAAAUAUUCCACAUGGGUUUCUCAGACACCCUUUGAAUGGAGACUGGCAUCUCUUUAAGAACUACUUCCCUUUCUCCACAGCUUAACAUCAGAAACUCGUAGGGCACUCCCAGAGGUAAAUACUCUGGAGAGAAAGAUUUGCUCUCAGUGCUGAUUUAUGAACUGUAGCUUCACAAACCAGCAUUAAUUUGAAGGGAGUUAAUUUUUCCCCAAAGUGUUUUGUUUACUUCCAGUCAUCUCUUAUCACUGAAAAAACAAAACACACAUAGUAUUGUGCUUUAUGCUUUCCUAAAGCUGAAAAAAAUUCUAAGAAAAUUAUUUUUAGUAACUUAUUGUCUUAAGAAAAUAACUGAAAAGAAGUACUUGUCUAGUGUGAAAAAUUAUACGUGUAAGUUUACUUUUUUUUCGGAAGCAGAAGACAUCAUUUCUCUAGUACGUUCACAAAGAUAAUUAAGAUACCCAGAUGAAGUUCUAUAAAUGGACUUUAAAAGUUGAUAGGGAACUGAAUCUUUAGUAUUAAUGGAUCGUAAUUGAAAUUAUUAAGAUAAUGGAGAAAUUGAUAAAAGAUUCUAUAACUCUCAAA